rnacentral:lncRNA from 1 species
GUCGAGAUCCCUUUGUGGGUCACAGGGGCAUAGCAGACAUUUACAUCACAAUUCAUAACAGUGGCAAAAUUACAGUCAUGGAGUAGCAACAGAAUAAUUUUAUGGUUGAGGGUCACCACACCACGAGGAACUGCACUAAAGGGUCGCAGAGUUAGGAAGGCUGAGAACCUCUGCUGUAAGGGUUAGGGACUGGCUGCUCAGAGUCUUUCCUGGGAAGCUUUACGGAACAGUGUGGAGGGAAAACUACAGUUCCAGAAGAAGGUCCUCUUCUCCAGUCACCCACCCUCUUGUCUUUGUUCUACCUCACCGAUCACAAGCAAAUGCAAGUGCCAAAUGCCCCAACCGUCUGACC